rnacentral:rRNA from 1 species
AGUGAACGCUGGCGGUAGGCCUAACACACGCAAGUCGAACGGCAGCACAGUAAGAGCUUGCUCUUACGGGUGGCGAGUGGCGGACGGGUGAGGAAUACAUCGGAAUCUACUUUUUCGUGGGGGAUAACGUAGGGAAACUUACGCUAAUACCGCAUACGACCUACGGGUGAAAGCAGGGGAUCUUCGGACCUUGCGCGAUUGAAUGAGCCGAUGUCGGAUUAGCUAGUUGGCGGGGUAAAGGCCCACCAAGGCGACGAUCCGUAGCUGGUCUGAGAGGAUGAUCAGCCACACUGGAACUGAGACACGGUCCAGACUCCUACGGGAGGCAGCAGUGGGGAAUAUUGGACAAUGGGCGCAAGACUGAUCCAGCCAUACCGCGUGGGUGAAGAAGGCCUUCGGGUUGUAAAGCCCUUUUGUUGGGAAAGAAAAGCAGCAGGUUAAUACCCCGCUGUUCUGACGGUACCCAAAGAAUAAGCACCGGCUAACUUCGU